AAAACUUGAUUUGAAGCUUGAGACUCGUGAAGUAUUUUUUUUUCUGAAAUCAAAAUGAUAUGCAUGACUUGAAUUUGCAAAAAAAGGGACUUGUGAGCAUCUCUGGGAUUCAUUUCACUUGUUAUUUUUCGGUAAUUCUUUACACAAUCCACUCUUUGUUCUGUCUAUUCUUUAGUUACCAACCGCAUUUCUUCACGCGACCAUGACUACCACCCUUGGUACUGCAAGCAGAGUCAUUUGGCUUAAAUCUCCAUCAGAGUCCACGGGAAAAGCAGAACUGCUGAGUGUGCUAAUCGCAUUAGGGCCACCUGCUCACAGAGGGAAUGACCUCCAGGAACAGGUAGAAAUCCCAGCAGGCAUGACAGCAGUUCAGCAUCAAGCCAACCGUGCGGGAAAUGUGCAGCUGAGUGAAGAAGCCAAAAAAAGAAUGAACGAAAGGGAACGGUAAAAACAAAAGCAGAAAGGUGAAGAAGUGCAACCUAUAAAAUAAGAUGGAUGGGAUUAUCUCUCUUUUUGUCAUGUUAAGAUAAGCAACAGAUGGCUUGAGUUUAAGGGUAAACGCUCAAGCAAAAACACAAAAAAAAGUUUAGUUGCUAUGUUUACAUUUUUUUAAUGGAAUAAAUACUGAAUGAUGAGAAAUAUGUCUUGACCUGCGAAGGAUUAAAGAACAUUUGUUGAGAAUUGAUGAAACAUGCAAAAUGUAGUUGCACCAUUUUAGUGAAAAUGUUAUACUGUUCCUAAAUUUAAAAAAAAGUACGAACACAAGUCUUCAAAAAGUUUUCAAAAGUAUUUCAACAUUAAGCAUUUAAAAAAAUCUCCAAUUCCAGGCAGACUCUGUUUAUAAAGACCUAGAAUGAAGGAGAACAGCAAAGAAUUUUGUGUCAGCAAAUAUUUUUUCCUGACAGAUUCAACUAAUCAUGAUCUUUUUCAUUAUAUUUGAGGUACAGAAAAAAAAUAAAAAAA